GGGAAGUUGGCUCAGUGGUAGAGUGCUUGCCUUGUAUGCAUGAGGCCCUGGGUUCGAUUCCUCAGUACCA
rnacentral:tRNA from 1 species